CCUACGGGGGGCAGCAGUCGGGAAUUUUCCACAAUGGGCGAAAGCCUGAUGGAGCAACACCGCGUGCAGGAUGAAGGCCUUCGGGUUGUAAACUGCUUUUAUGUGCGAAGAAUAUGACGGUAACACAUGAAUAAGGGUCGGCUAACUACGUGCCAGCAGCCGCGGUCAUACGUAGGACCCAAGCGUUAUCCGGAUUUACUGGGCGUAAAGAGUUGCGUAGGUGGUUUAUAUAAGUGGAGCGUGAAAGCGUGUGGCUCAACCAUACAGCUGCGCUGUAAACUGUUAAACUUGAGUAUGAGAGGGGUAGAUGGAAUUUCUAGUGUAGGAGUGAAAUCCGUAGAUAUUAGAAGGAACACCGAUAGCGUAGGCAGUCUACUGGCUCAUUACUGACACUAAGGCACGAAAGCGUGGGGAGCAAACGGGAUUAGAUACCCUUGUAGUC
rnacentral:rRNA from 1 species